UACGUAGGGCGCAAGCGUUAUCCGGAAUUAUUGGGCGUAAAGAGCUUGUAGGCGGUUUGUCGCGUCUGCUGUGAAAUUUCGGGGCUCAACCCCGAACUUGCAGUGGGUACGGGCAGACUAGAGUGUGGUAGGGGAGACUGGAAUUCCUGGUGUAGCGGUGAAAUGCGCAGAUAUCAGGAGGAACACCGAUGGCGAAGGCAGGUCUCUGGGCCAUAACUGACGCUGAGAAGCGAAAGCAUGGGGAGCGAACAGG
rnacentral:rRNA from 1 species